AAUUAGCUACUAAUUUCCUUUUCAUCUUCUCUGUGCUAGCUAUUAUGCAUCCUACUAAGAAUACCGAUCCUAAAUCAGCUUCUCAACUACACCUGAGCAAAUGGUCCAGUGGACCGUGUGGUUGCUUCGAAGAUUGCUCCAGUUGCUGCCUUACCUGCUUUGCUCCCUUCAUCACAUUUGGCCGCAUUGCUGAGAUCCUGGACGAGGGUCGAACGUGUCAGUAAAUUCUACUCAUCUUAUUCAUCGAAAAAAAAAAAAUUCUACUCAUCUUCUUUUAAUUAAAUAGAAAGAAUAAUUAGAAGUUGGCCGGAUGUCGUAGAAUAACUUUGAUAUUAUACUUUUUGGAGCAUGUGGUUCCGCCACCCUACACUUCUUCGCCCUUGCCCAUUUGGGUGUUGUAUGUUUUUACACGUGCUCAUACCGAACCAAACUGAGAGCCAGGUUUUCGUUGCCGAAAAAACCGUGUGGGGAUUUCUGUGUCCAUUUUUUCUGCAUUUGUUGUGCUAUUUGUCAAGAAUACCGCGAACUCAAGCACCGUGGAUUGGACCCUUCGAAAGGUUAGGUAUUCAAUUCUCGAAGAAUGGAGGGUGGAGCCACAACACCUCCAUCUAUCACACUAGGCAUGACUCGUUGAGGCUUCCAUGGGUUUCUCCUUGGGUAUUCAAUGCUCGGAGAAGUAAAGAGAAUAAUAAAAUAUUGUUGGAUGACUGCAUCUUAGUAGUGUGAAUGUAGGCUACGAAGUGUAAGAAAUAUUAGAUUUCUAAUAUGUAUAUUAAAGUGUGGUUAGAGACGCAAGUAAGUGGCCUGGUACCUCUAAAAAAAAUAUAUUAAAAAGGUAUUUUAAUUUUUAAA